rnacentral:rRNA from 1 species
GGGACGAACGCUGGCGGCGUGCUUAACACAUGCAAGUCGAGCGAGGCCCUUCCUUCGGGAAGGUGCCCUAGCGGCGAACGGGUGAGUAACACGUGGGCAAUCUGCCCCUAGCACUGGGAUAACUCCGGGAAACCGGGGCUAAUACCGGAUAUGACCUCUGAGGGCAUCCUCUGGAGGUGGAAAGGAUCCUGGCUAGGGAUGAGCCCGCGGCCUAUCAGCUUGUUGGUGGGGUAACAGCCUACCAAGGCGACGACGGGUA